rnacentral:rRNA from 1 species
GACGAACGCUGGCGGCGUGCUUAACACAUGCAAGUCGAACGAAGUGGCGAACGGGUGAGUAACGCGUAAUCAACCUGCACUUAAGAGGGGGAAAACAGUUGGAAACGACUGCUAAUACAGCAUACUGAAGGAGGGGAUUGCGUCUGAUUAGCUAGGUGGAGGGGUAACGGCCCACCAGGGCGAUGAUCAGUAGCCGGUCUGAGAGGAUGAACGGCCACAUUGGGACUGGGACACGGCCCAGAUUCCUACGGGAGGCAGCAGUGGGGAAUCUUCCGCAAUGGACGAAAGUCUGACGGAGCAACGCCGCGUGAGUGAUGACGGCCUUCGGGUUGUAAAGCUCUGUUAAUCGGGACGCGGUACCGGAAUAGAAAGCCACGGCUAACUCCGUGCCAGCAGCCGCGGUAAUAC